AGAGUUUGAUCCUGGCUCAGGAUGAACGCUGGCGGCGUGCCUAACACAUGCAAGUCGAGCGAGACUCCGGCAGAAGAGACUUCGGUUAAAUCAGUCGGACGAUAGCGGCGGACGGGUGAGUAACGCGUAGGCAAUCUGCCCCGUACAGGGGGAUAGCCGUUGGAAACGACGAGUAAGACCUCAUGAUGCAGCACUUUCACAUGGGAGAGCUGCCAAAGAUUUAUCGGUAUGGGAUGAGCCUGCGUCUGAUUAGCUGGUUGGUGAGGUAACGGCCCACCAAGGCGACGAUCAGUAGCCGACCUGAGAGGGUGAUCGGCCACAUUGGAACUGAGACACGGUCCAAACUCCUACGGGAGGCAGCAGUGGGGAAUAUUGCACAAUGGAGGGAACUCUGAUGCAGCAACGCCGCGUGAAGGAUGAAGGUUUUCGGAUCGUAAACUUCUGUCCAUGGGGACGAAGAAAGUGACGGUACCCGUGGAGGAAGCCCCGGCUAACUACGUGCCAGCAGCCGCGGUAAUACGUAGGGGGCGAGCGUUAUCCGGAAUUAUUGGGCGUAAAGAGUGCGUAGGUGGCCCACUAAGCGCAGGGUUUAAGGCAAUGGCUUAACUGUUGUUCGCCUUGCGAACUGGAGGGCUUGAGUUCAGGAGAGGAAAGUGGAAUUCCUAGUGUAGCGGUGGAAUGCGUAGAUAUUAGGAGGAACACCGGUGGCGAAGGCGACUUUCUGGACUGAUACUGACACUGAGGCACGAAAGCGUGGGGAGCAAACAGGAUUAGAUACCCUGGUAGUCCACGCCGUAAACGAUGAGCACUANGUGUCGGGGCCGUAAAGGCUUCGGUGCCGCAGUUAACGCAAUAAGUGCUCCGCCUGGGGAGUAUGCACGCAAGUGUUAAACUCAAAGGAAUUGACGGGGACCCGCACAAGCAGCGGAGCAUGUGGUUUAAUUCGAAGCAACGCGAAGAACCUUACCAGGACUUGACAUCCCCCUGACAGGGCUUUAAAAGGCCCCUUCUUCGGACAGGGGAGACAGGUGGUGCAUGAUUGUCGUCAGCUCGUGUCGUGAGAUGUUGGGUUAAGUCCCGCAACGAGCGCAACCCUUGCCUUUAGUUGCCAUCAUCAAGUUGGGCACUCUAGAGGGACUGCCGGGGACAACUCGGAGGAAGGUGGGGAUGACGUCAAAUCAUCAUGCCCCUUAUGUUCUGGGCUACACACGUGCUACAAUGGCCGGUACAGCAGGAAGUGAAGCCGUGAGGCGGAGCGAACCCCAAAAGCCGGUCCCAGUUCGGACUGCAGGCUGCAACCCGCCUGCACGAAGUCGGAGUUGCUAGUAAUCGCGGAUCAGCACGCCGCGGUGAAUGCGUUCCCGGGUCUUGUACACACCGCCCGUCACACCAUGGAAGUUGGUGGUGCCCGAAGUCGGUCAACAAAUCUACUGCCUAAGGCAAAACCAAUGACUGGGGUGAAGUCGUAACAAGGUAACCGUA
rnacentral:rRNA from 1 species